AGCGAACGCUGGCGGCAGGCCUAACACAUGCAAGUCGAACGAACUCUUCGGAGUUAGUGGCGGACGGGUGAGUAACACGUGGGAACGUGCCUUUAGGUUCGGAAUAACUCAGGGAAACUUGAGCUAAUACCGGAUGUGCCCUUCGGGGGAAAGAUUUAUCGCCUUUAGAGCGGCCCGCGUCUGAUUAGCUAGUUGGUGAGGUAAAGGCUCACCAAGGCGACGAUCAGUAGCUGGGCUGAGAGGAUGAUCAGCCACAUUGGGACUGAGACACGGCCCAAACUCCUACGGGAGGCAGCAGUGGGGAAUCUUGCGCAAUGGGCGAAAGCCUGACGCAGCCAUGCCGCGUGAAUGAUGAAGGUCUUAGGAUUGUAAAAUUCUUUCACCGGGGACGAUAAUGACGGUACCCGGAGAAGAAGCCCCGGCUAACUUCGUG
rnacentral:rRNA from 1 species